rnacentral:rRNA from 1 species
UACGUAGGGUGCAGGCGUUAAUCGGAAUUACUGGGCGUAAAGCGUGCGCAGGCGGUUUCUUAAGUCAGAUGUGAAAGCCCCGGGCUCAACCUGGGAACUGCAAUGGAAACUGGCGGGCUUGAGUGUGGCAGAGGGGGGUGGAAUUCCACGUGUAGCAGUGAAAUGCGUAGAGAUGUGGAGGAACACCGAUGGCGAAGGCAGCCCCCUGGGCUAACACUGACGCUCAGGCACGAAAGCGUGGGGAGCAAACAGG